GCGCUUGUGACCCUCCCCGCUUCCCUCUGGUGAUGGUUACUAGGCAACAGCCGCGUGGCGUCCUUUGGACCUCUGCAGCAAGGGCAAAGCGCCCUGAUUGGGCUACGCGAAGGCCAAUGUCAGCCUUGAAGGUUCUAGGUUUUCUUUUAUUAAGGAGGUCAAUACUUUUUGUUCUAGUCACUCAAAAAGUAUCGUUGUUUGCCUACCACGGGUCAAGCCGUGUUCGAGGGUUUGGGAGUACACCGUUGAAUAAGACAAAGCCCUUGCCGUCAAGGAACUCACAGUCUAUUAGGGAAACAGACCAGAAACAGAUAAUUAAAAAACAGAGACAAGUGCCGUGAAAGAGGUAAACACAAAAUAUGAAUUCAAGCUCGCGUUGUCACCUUAGAGUGAAGCAGUGGGGGAUAUGAGGUGCUUAAUCAAGGAUUUCCUGAGGAAAUGAUGCCUGAGCAGAAUCAGAGAGGUUGAAGAGACCUAAACUUUGUUCGAGGAGUGUAGGGGAGUCUACAUUACUGAAAAAGAAUGAGACACAAGAACUGUGGAGGAGAAGGCAGAGUGAGAACUGUGGAUUCCAAGUGGCCUGCCAGUUGCCACCUCAGCUGCAUCACUACGUUGGAGAGCUAUAUUUCUGCCCAUGACUUAUCCCUGUCUUUGUAACAGAUUCUCUUUUGAGGGUUAAAAAACUGGAGAACAGCUAGAGUAAAUCAUUCUUUUGACACGGUUUUCCGUAAAAGGUUUUCCAUUUUUCCCCAGAAAAAUGGAGCAGUAUCUAGGGGGAAAUGGGGAGUAAAAGCAACAGGCCUAAGAUAUGAGACACAAGAUCUUGUUUCUAUGUUGAUAGGAAGGAAACUGAUAAUCCAAGAGGGGAUAGUUCAGGGACCCAAGUCCUUGAGAAAGCAGGAGGGUCUAGGAACAAAGUAUCAAGGGCCCUGCCUAGGGAUAGGAACACUUUUUUAUUUUUUGAGACAGAGUCUCACUCUGUCACCUAGGCUGAGUGCAGUGGCUUGAUCUUGGCUCACUGCAACCUCCACCUUCCAGGUUCGAAAAAUUCCCCUGCCUCAGCCUCCUGAGUAGCAGGGACUACAGGUGUGCGCCACCACACCCAGCUAAUUUUUGUAUUUUUAGUAGAGAUGGGGUUUCACCAUGUUGGCCAGGCUGGUCUCAAACUCCUGGCCUCAAGUGAUUCACCCGCCUUGGCCUCCCAAAGUACUGGGAUUACAGGCAUGAACCACUGUGUCUGGCCAGGAUAGGAACACUUGAUUCUGCCAGGAGGAAAGAAGGAGAUGGAGUAGAAGUAGGUUUGUUUGUAGAUUUACUGAGGGAAUUUCCAUCUGAUGAUGUCUCUUUGAGACAAGAUCAUCUCACGAAAAUGAAGUGAAGGAAGAGGUCAUAUACCAAGUCCUCCUGGGGAAUGGGAAAUAGAGCUUACCUCAAACCUUGAAUUAAAGGCCAAAUUGAAGUUUAUGAUCACAAAUUGAAGGUUUAAAAAAGCCUAGCUGGGAAAUUCUGUUUAGAAGCAGAAAGUUGGGCAGAUACUUGGGUUCAUCCUGGCCUGGAGUAGUGCCAGGUGGGUAUGAAUGAGGCACAGAAAAGCUAGGGAAUGAACAGUACUUGCCCUAGAGUAAUAACGGUAGGAAAGUGAUUCUCAAUUCCAGCUGCACAUUGGAGUCACCCAUGGACCUUUCAGACAUCCCGAUUUAAUAGGCUUAGGAUGGAGCAUGGGCACUGAUUUUUAAGUUUUAUUUUUAAUUUUUUUUUAGAGCAGGGUUUCACUCUCACCCAGACUAGAGUUCAGUGGUGUGAUCUUGGAUCACUGCAGUCUUGACCUCCUGGGCUUAAGGGAUCCUCCCACCUCAGCCUUCCGAGUAGCUAGGACUACGGGAGUGCGCCACCACGCCUGGCUAGUUGUUUUUUAUUUUUUGUAGAGAUGGAUCUCACUGUGUUACCCAGGCUGGCCUCAAACUUCCGGGCUCAAGUAUCCACCUGCCUCAGCCUCUCAAAGUGCUGGGAUUACUGGCGUUAGCCACCAUACCCAGCUGGCUUUGAUAUUUUUUAAGAGCUCCUCAUGUGCUUCUAAUGUGCAGCUCGUGUUAAGAAUUACUAUAUAGACCAUGAAUCUAAGCUGCAUCACGAAGGAUGAUAGGAGACUAAUGAAAAAGUGAGAAAGUGAUGUGAUCAGUGAAAUUGAAAUCCCCAAAGCAGCCAUAAAUUAUAGCAGAGGAGUACUAGAGCAAGGCAGCUGGAGGGUUGGCAAGGUAUGAUUGGUAAGUAAAUAUUUGCAAGAUUUUGAAAAUAGCAUAGCCGUGGGAGUGGAUUCCCAAGACAGAGUGAAUAAGAUCAUUGUAGGUGGGCAGGCAAAGAAUGUGAGGCCAGAAUUUUGAGAGAAGUAUCCACAUGGACACUGAAAAUGGUUGGAAAGGAACACUGGGCCAUGAGUUAAUUUCUUCUGUGGAUGAUGCGGAGCAACCAGGGUGGCAGUUGGGAGUCAAGGAGGGUUAUGUACCUACAUAGUGGCUCAGACAACCCGGGAAGAGGGCUCUUUGCAGGAGGAACAGGGAGAACUGGACCAGCAGAAACAUUAAACAUGAACAUCAUAGAAGACAAGUAUCUCUUUUCCUGGCCCAGAGGUGGGAUGUGGGAGAAGUCUCAGCUUCCAGUGAAGUGAAGACUUCAAGGGAUGGGCAACCUAGUGUCAGUCAUGACAUGAUGGUCAAAGAAAUCUUUGGAGAUGGGGGCAAUGGAGCAGAGUCUAUGGAAGACAGAUGCGGAGUUUCAGAGGCCCCAGUGGGUAUCUGGGAGAGAGAGGAGGUGUGGGGGACCAGGGGAGACUGUGGGACUUACAAGGAGGAUGGCAUAAGAGGCGUUGGCGCCGAGGGAUGAAUGGGGAGGCUUGGUCUCCUGAAGAGGAAUGAAGACCAUGUGGACACAGAACAAGCUGAGCUAAUCUCUUGUAGCUCAGUAGGCCUCUUUUGGUUUUUGUCCCCAGUAUUUAUCUCAAUAGUGUGCCUUCUAGCUAGCUGUUGUCUGUGGCUUCACAGGGUAGGACAGGACUUUGGGGUGAAUAAAACAAGGAAAGCAGUUGGGAGUGGGCAGAGUGGUGUAAAAAAGUGGUGUAAAAAAAAAGAGGGAGAAGCAGACAUCAGCCCACACGUAGGGGACUGUCGGCCACAGCUGCAGCUAAAAUCACACUGGGUAGAGGAAUGUGACCUGGGACACUAGAGACGUCUAAUACGGGAGGUCUUCAGGUGCCAUUCAACCCUGUCCUACUAACGAUGGAACCGAGGCUCAGAUAUGGGAAUAAUUUGUCCAGGUUCACCAGUCACGGGGAAUGCCGUGGUGAGUCCAUAGCAGAUGCACAGAGGUCUCCAGGAGACAAAGUCGUCACGUGGGUCCAGGCCAGGGAUCGGGCCCACCCUCCCUCUUCCCUCUGGGCUCCAGGAUGGAGACACUACACAGAAACUUGUUGCCAAUGUCCCUUUAUUCAGAAGAUGCUAAUAUCAGGUCAUGGACCCCCAGUUGGGGGCAGGUAGGAGGGUGUGGAAGGACGUGGUCAGUGCCACUGAGUCCCACAAUCAUAAGAGGGACGGCCAUGGACUCACCCAGCGUAGCCUGUUAGCGCUUUGAGAAGUCACCUCCUAGAGGACACAUGAUGGGGAGAUGGGUUAGUAAGACAGGCAGAGAAGUCAGGCUGGUGGCAGGAGGAAGCCCAGAGCCGAUGUCAGGCUUCCGACUGUGUUCCACCCAGGCAGCAUCGGUGCCUUCCACCUCUGUUUCUCCCUCAACUGCCACAUCAUGGGACCUCAGGUUAUCAUAUGGCAGGUACUUAACAGAACCAGGCACCUGCCAGCCACCUCACACGGGUGCUCUCAACACGUCCACCCAACAAGCCUGCACAGUGAUGACAGCCCCGCUCAGAAGAUGAGGUCAGGGGCUGGGUGCAGUAGCUCCUGCCUGAAACCCCAGCACUUGGGAGGCUGAGGCAGAUGGAUCACUUGAGCCCAGGAGUUCAAGAUCAGCCUGGGCAACGUGGUGAAACCCUGUCUACAAAAAAAAAAAAAAAAAAGAAAAGAAAAAACAGAGAGAAAGAGAGAAAGCAAGAGAGAAAUUAGCUGGGCAUGGUGGCUCACACCUGUGGUCCCACCUACUUGGGAGGCUGAGGCAGAAGGAUCAUUUGAGCCCAGGAGUUCCAGGCUGCAGUAAGCCAAGGUCACGCUACUGCAUUACAGCCUGGGCAACAGAGUGUGACCCCAUUAAAAAAAAAAAAAAGAUGAGGUCAGGGAGGCUGAGCAAGGAAGCAGGUGAGUUGGGGUUUGAACUAGGUACAGUUACUCCAGACACCCACGCUCACACACGAUAGAAGACAAAAUGAACAGGAAUAUUGAGAAGGGAAAAAACAGACUGGAAGGACUUAAGGAAGAAGGGUGGAGUGAGGAGCCAUGCGUGUGUUCCUGGGUCUGGUUUACAACACUGGGUCCUUUGCCCAGGCUCCUGCCCCAUCCCCUCCCUGGCCAGAGCCCCACCCAGACCCACCCAGGCAGGAGCUGCACUGGCAGCUGUGAAUGACUGGCAGCACCACGGGCUCCACGUGGCCACCCGGACAGCGCAGGCUCAGGAUCCGCACGGGACUCUCUGGAUCUAGGCGGUAGCUGCAGCAAUCACACUGGCUCUGCAGGUAUGGCUCCUGGGUGAGAGGGAGUGGCUGAACUGGGGCCAAAUGGAGUUGCCUCCCUUCCCUUGGCCUUUCCCAUCCUAGGCGGGGUGGGGUGGCGGGAGGCACAGGUCCCACCCUCUUCACCAAGCAGGGUGGCCGGGCCACCGCGAGGCCCCUUCUGUAAGAAGCCCACCUCCUUCACGCCCACGUCUGAAUGUCCAACAAUCUACAGGUUAAAUGAAUACUUCUAAUGCUCCCAUUGGUGCCCCUGGCUGCAGGGGAGACAUACUUCUGCCUCAGAGAGCUCAGAGUCUCAUUGGAGAGGCAGACUUAGAAUACAUGAAGCUGCAAAUAAGCCCGUUCUAACUGCACAGUUCUGAGCCCAAGUGCAAAGUGAGUUCUCACUCCAACGCAGGUCCCUGUGCGCUGUGGUUAAAGCACCUCCAUAGGCGUCCUCUGAGAAUAUCAUUUAAUUUUAUGUAUAAUUAUAAUUUUACUUUGAAAUGGGCAAUACAUCCAUACAAUACCAAGUCCAAAAACUACAAGCAGUUAUUCAGUGAAAAAAAAUCCCUCCAAUUCCUACCCCACUGUCAAAUUUCUUUCCUCAGAAAAAAAGCAUCUCUUAAUUACUUUCUCUCUUUUCUCACUCUAUGUUUUAAAAAUUCCAAAACUGUAAAAAAAAAAAAAAACCCUAAAGUGAUUUGGGAAAGUAUUUCCAGCAAGUGCACGGGCACCUGGGGGCCGUAGAGCGGCCCAGGGUUGAGGGGACCAGGGAGGAAAGCAUCCUUGUCUUCCAGGAUAGGGUAAACUAAGUGGGCCGAGGUGGGUCCGGGGGCAGCGUGAGUGCGGGGAGUGGAGCUGGAGAGGGGACCCGGGCUGAAGGCAGCUCAAGUCAGCGCGCCAGGCUCAGGCUGAGGGGAGUCAGGGUGGGCAGGAGCCCCUUGGAAUAUCCUAAGAAGGAUCAGGGUUUCUGAGUCCACAGAGGGCAAAGCAGAGCCACCUGCCCAAGACUCAGAGCCAGCCUGGCUUGGACACCUUUCGGGAAAUGUGUGCAGUGAUCCUAUCUGCAGAGAGUGCAUUCCCGUGAUGGGUUCUGAUUUCAGAGGCUAGCUUAGCUCCUCCAUUCCUUUCUUUGCUGGGCCCCUGGCUCAUUGCCUUGAGGGGCACAGCGUUCACGCUUUGGGAGUGGUAUGGGGCCAAAAAGACCUCCGUGGGAGGGAGGAGUUGGGCACCCAGAGAGACCUGUGAGCCACCCGCAGGUGCAUGCCACUGCCUGGGGCAAAGCGCUGACCAUCUGACUCCCUGACUCCACUGUUACCUCCGUGAAAAGCACUUCGUGCCUCUUGGACUCUGGCUCUGCCCAGGUUCCAGGCUCAGGGCAGGCCCUCAGCGGCCACAGGCUACCUUGACUCCCCUGGCCUGGAUGGCAGGCCCCUGGCUCACCUCUGGCAUGACGUGGGUGCUGGAUGGGCAGUGCCCACUGCAGUAGUUCACUUCUACCUGGUCCAGGUAGCAGGGCCCCUUGGUGAGGUUUCGAAGCUCCGUAAGGAGGUGGCAGGAGGGCAUUUGCUCCUCUGUGGGGAGGGGCAUUGAGUGGCAGGAGGUGGGGGCAGGGCACUGGAGAAGGAGGUGACUGAGGGGACUGUGGGGGGACACAGGAGGAGAAGGUGACUGAGGGGACUGUGGGGGCACAGGAGGAGGGGGUGACUGAGGGGACUGUGGGGGCACAGGAGGAAGAGGUAACUAAGGGAACUGUGGGGGUGGAGCAGGGCCUAGGUCUGAGGGACAUCUGGGCAGGGUGGCCAGGUGCUAUGAUAUGUGCUGGGGUCUUCAUUCCCCAAAUCCCCUUUGCGGGUUGGCUUGAGGGAGGCAGGCACCUGCCAGGCUGAAAAGGCCGAAUGUGGGGUGGGGCUGGAGAGAAGUGUCUAGACCAGAGAGAGGCACCCCACAAUGUGCCCAGGGUCCCUCCAUACCCAGAGUCUCCCGGUGGCAAGUGGGACAGCAGCUCCCUGGCUCCAGCACCAUCUCCUCACCCUGCAGAGGGAGAGAGCCCCAAGAUGGUCCUGACACCUGGCCCCAGUCCACGGUGCCCAGGGACACCAGGGAGGGUAGCAGGGCUGCAGGGGGUACCUGAGCACAGGUGAGGAGGAACCACCCCGGAGAGUAGCAGGAAUGCAGGGGGUGCCUGAGCACAGGUGAGGGGGAACCACCCCAGAGAGUAGCAGGAAUGCGGGGGUACCUGGGCACAGGUGAGGGGGAACCACCCCAGAGAGUAGCAGGAAUGUGGGGGUACCUGAGCACAGGUGAGGGGGAACCACCCCAGAGAGUAGCAGGAAUGCGGGGGUACCUGGGCACAGGUGAGCGGGGAGCAGCGCUGGGUGCAGAAAGGCCUCCCACUGAGGCAGACGCAGCUCUCACAGGCCUCCUGCCAUUCAGAUCCAGGCUGGGGAGAGGAAGGAGAGCCUCCUUUUGGUCUCUCCCAACUUGUAGACUCUUCUACAAUAGUACCCUGGUCCCCCAGCCCAGCCUGCGAGUGCCUAGCUGGGGCAAUGGGCUUGGAUGGAGUUGGGCAACAGGAGACCGAGGAGGGAGAUGGGCUUUUGGGGUGACCGUGGAGCCCUGCUGCCUACUGCAGGGCCUGGAGUAGGGGGAGGAGCCAGUGGACGGGGAGGCCUGAAGUCAGAAAGGGGUGGGGGUAGCAGAGGGGAUUCGGUGUCUCACCAGGUGGGGCCGCCCCAGGUGCCAGCACUCGCAGCGGUCUUUGGGGACGCAGGAGCCCACCUGGCUUCGGAAGUGCCCAGGCUGGCACACACAGCCUGAAGCUCGAGCCGAGCUGCAGUUGCCUGGGGUCUCUGUGGCGGUCAUCUCCUGGCAUGUCUGCUCGCAGAGCCCCAGCUCCCCCGGGGCCACCUGCUGCCAUGCUUCCCCAGGGGGGCACUCUGCCAGGGAAUACAAUCCAACCCACCUUUCUGGCCAGCGCCGAAUCCAGACUGGAUUCCGCCCCCAAGCUGAGCACCCCAUGUCCCCGUGCUGCCUUCUCAGCAGCAGCGGCCUCCCACCACACCUCCUGCUCUCUCCUAUCCACCCUCUCAAACAUUAGCUGGGCCCAGGCCAGGUCUCGCCUCCUCCAGAAAAGCCUCCGCUGACCAAUCCUGUCCACCCAGCCUCUCUCUUCUCUCUGCGGUGCUACCUGCUUGUCAGGGACCUAGAGACUGUCCCAUCUCUGCCCGUUCUAGGGGGUGGUCUGCCCGAAGGCUGGCUGUGCUGCAUGUCUGCAUUCGGAGCCCAGCAUGGCGGAGCUGGGCACCUGGUGGGUGGGCUGACGCUCUUGAUCAGACAGGGGCAACCCUGCACUGUGCAGGGCAAAUGCCACCAGCCUGGAGGCUGCCAGGCCAGGCCCCUCAUUUCCACUCUCCCCUCCAGCCCUCAGUUUCCCCACUGGCAGGGAAAGAGCCUUCUACUUCCUGGCAUCACUCACAGCCCUGGCUCUGUGUACACCGUAUGCUAGAGAAUGCCCCCACACAUGGGUCAGACCACACUGAGUGCCCAGGAGCCCUGGGCAGAGGGCACUGGGUGUCCGGUUAGAGAGAGGUCAGUGUGGACAGGCAGGGGAGGAGGGGAGGGCUUCCUGAAGCUCUGUCUAGGCUGGGAGCAGGGCCCUCCUCCCCUCCUCAGUGCCAGUCCCUGGCCUUGACUUUGGAGGUGCAGCAGGGCAUGGAAGCCACAUCUCACCCUGACAGUCGACAAGGGAGCAGCUGAAGACUCCACUGCGGCAGACGCUAGGAAGACAGAAGCCUGCUCAGAGGCCGCCCAUGGCCUCCUCCUGCCCCAUGCUCAGCACCCCCUUCCUCCAUCCCUGCUCCCCACCCCACGACCAGGCCUCACCAGCGGGUGCAGUUCUGGGUGAGCACAGUCCCUGGGGGCAGCUCCUGGGCCUGCUCUUCUGGGGUCAGGGUGAAGCCCCAGGGCAGAGAAUGCUGGGUGCAGGGGCAGGCAGCAGGGGGAACGCAUGUGCCGUGGUGCAGCAGCUGCAGUGGGGCGGGCUCAGUGACACUCGGACCACCGCCUCUUCCCUCCUCACCUGCCAGCUUUGCCCACAUGGGAGUCAGGACACAGCAACCAGUACCCACCUGCCCUCCAGGGCAGCCACAGCCAGGCUGGCAGGGCUCCUGCACACAGAUGGCGCCAGGCUGCAGAUGCCAGCAGAGGUGUGGGCAGGAGGUGGCACAGGCGCUAAGCACCUGGCCAGGGGGGCACUCUGUGGGGAGCACACAAAUAGGGAGUUGGGAGGGACCCAGCAUCUCCAGUCCCAGGCGGGGGCUGCCCUGGGUCUGACCUCUCCCCACACUGACCCCCCAACAGCUGGGGCAGGGCCUGGGCCCAGGAGUAAUGGAGGGGGUCAGACACCCACCGCCCAGGGCACUCACCAGGGCAGGGCUUCAGGUUACACUCCUGCCACUGUUCCGUGUCCUGGGCCUGGCAUGCUGCCACCCCAGGACCCCCCUUGCAGCUCCGAUGUCGUGCCAUAGUGCCCCCACCACAGGGGGCUGAGCAGCUGCUCCAAGCUGACCAAGGCCCAAGGACUGGACACUCCUGGCGUGGGCACACCAGGGACCCGUUGACACAGGUGCUGUGGACGGGGGUAGCACAAAGGGCUCCAGUCAGGGUGAACAGAACCCUCGCUCCCCGGCAAUACCUGCGAAGGCUGACCUGCCCCAUGCCUCCACCCGAAGCUCCCUCCGCCCUGGCGUGGCUGCUGCCAUACCAGUUUUUGCAGUCCAGCUGCACCACGUGGCCUGGGGCCAGCUCCCAAGAGGCAUUGGCACUGGGGAGGCCACAGCGGCAAGAGGAGAUCGGCACACAGCGCCCGUCCUGGACCAGCUGGCCCGGGGGACAGCGGCAGCCUAGGGGUUUGAGUAAGGAGGCCAAAUGAGAUGGGGUGCUCAGGCAGGGCUUACAAAUGGAUCCUCCCCGGCAACCAGACUGAGUCCAAAGCCUGGUUUCCAUAGUAUCUCCCACUGCCCACGCACAGAAAGGGGCCACUCCAGCCCACCCUGUGUGGGCACCACCAGUAACCCUGACGGCCACCGGCACAUUCACAUGAGACAGUGGCCCUGAGUGAACUUCACUCCAUGCAGGACGCAGAGCUGGCUGCUGAAAGUGACCACGUUCCUGCCCCAUCAUUCAGGCCCCAGCCAGUCUGAGCCUCCCCCACCUCUGCCUGAGAUCACACACUCUCUGGGAGCAGGAGGCAGCUGGGAGAGGCCCCAGGCUUUCCUGGAACUCCCAGCCGGGUGGUGGGGCCUGCCAGCUACCUGGGUGGCAGGGUCCCUGCAGACACUGAACACGGUCCCAGAGGUCGACACAGCUGCGUGGGCACCGGUUGGCACAGUCGCUGGUGAGUACAGUGUCUCGGGCCUCACAGCUCUUGCCUGAGGGCCAGAUGUUGGGAGUCUGUUGGGGACACUCUUGGGCCCUCCCUUCCACGGCACACCUCGGGGGCAGAGCCAACUCUCCCUCAGGUUUGGUCUCUGAUGUUCCUGUCCCAGGCCCUCCUCUGGAUGGGGGAUGGGAAUUACCUGGGCAGGGCCCUCUGUUGCAGCUUUCUGUCUGAGCCCAUGGUCCCCGGCAGCCUCCUCCAUGGGGGGCCCCUGCCUCUCUCCAGCGUAGCCUGAAUCCCCCACUGCAGGGGACCUGGCAGGAGCUCCAUGGCCCCCACGGACUCCACUGGCAUGAGUCUGGGAAAGGUACGGCAAGGUCAGUACCCAGGCCCACCUCCUGCCCCCCCUUGAGGCUUGAGCUCUGCUGCUGCCCCUCUAGGCUCUCCCGCUCCUCUUUCUAGCUGCUGCCUGGACCUCACCCAGCUUCAAAUCCUGCAGGCCCUAGAGGCAAGCACGAGGGGUAGCAGGUCACUGCGCUCCAUAGCCCAGCCCCUUCUGGCCAGCUCCCUGCAACCUACACUACAGGCCCCUCCUGUCCUGUGGCCUCUGCCUCUCCCCAUUACCAGGGCAGACUCUAGGGUCAGGGCACAGGCGCUGCUGGCUGAGGGGCGCAGUGCAGAGGUGAGGGGCCCCGGUCCAGGGUCCUCCUGUUGCAGGAUCCAGACAGAGCCGGUGACGGUGUUGCUCUGAGGCCAGCAGCAGGGCAGAGGUCGGGGAGAGGCCAGUUGGGUCCUGGAGCCAGCGUUCCUGUAGUGCAGUUCUGGAGGCAGGGGCCAGGGUGCUGGGCGGCAGGCAGGGCCCACACGGCGACCACUCGGACCACUCACUCAGAGGCAGAAGACCUAGAAGGGCAGCAUGUGACCACCUUCCCAGUGACCAUCCCCAACCCAGAGACCCUGGUGGACAGGCAGGAGGGGCUCAGUGUCAUGACCAGGAAGUGCUGGAAACAGGGAAGGCUGAGAGAGGUGUGGGGGCAGGGUAGGGUGCCCAUCAUCCCGGUUUGCCUGGGACUGUCCCCAUCUUAGCACUGAAAGAUCUGCAGCCCAGAAACCCCCCAGUCCCAAGCGAUGGGGACAGCAGUCUCCAUAGGUCAGGGUUACCUUGGCAGCCCUGGCUGGUGCACUGCAGCUCCCCACGCCGGCAUUCACUGCGGGAGGGGAUGGUCAAGGUGGACUAUGGGACGCAGGACCCAGCCCAGGACCCCCGGAGGUAACCUGCAAGGGUACCUGAGCCCUCGGUACAUUUGGGGCAAGAUGAGAGAGUUGUGAACUCUGGCAUCUCUGGGCCCUCUGUCCUGAGGAUGGACUGGGCUCCCUGCCCUCUGCCUCCCCUCCCCCAUCACUCACCACUCCUUACAGCCCAGCUGCAGGCGGUCUCCAGGGGCCAGGGUCACCCGGGCUCCCUUUGCUGAGGUAUGCCAGCAGUUACACUGCUCUGGAGGAAUGCAGCCCCCAGCCUGCUCCAGCAGCCCCUGGGUGGAAGGAGAGACGGGGUGGUGAUCAUCAUGUCACCCCAGCACCCAGCACUGUGCCCAGCCUGUGGCAGGUGCUCACGCGUGGUGCCGAGUGAAUGGCAUGGGCACAAGCUGGGAGGAGGCACCAAGUUCCAAGGGGUAGGAGGUGGGGUUGCCAUGGCCAUCACAGAGAGAAGGGAGAGCCGGAGUGUGGGCAGAGGACCCCCUUCUCCUUGGAAGAAGGAGAGCUCCCAGCUCUCACCUUGGGGCAGUAGCAGCCCGGCUGGCAGGGCGGCAGGUCCUGGCAGAGCUGACGGCUCAGGUGUGUGGCACAGAGCCCAGCACAGGGGGAGCCGCAGGCCUGGAACUCAAAGGGAGGCGUGCAGCUGUCCUCUGGGGGAAGCGGGGAGAGGCAGGCUGAUGGGGGACAGCCCAGAGACACCACUCCCAAAGCCAGAGCACAUGCUGCAUGGUUCCUCUGAGGCCCCUUGGGGUCACCUGGCAAGAAUACAAGAUGCCUGCCCCCCACAUGUUGGAACAGACCAGUGUCCUCCAUCUGGCACCCACUCAGCACCUGUGGGCACCUCCAGGGAAAGAUCAGGACAGGUUGGGCCUUGGAGAGCCAGGAAGCUGCCUGGAGGAGGCAACUGAGGAGGGGGCUGCAGGAGUGAGGGGCCUGGCAGGUGCGCCAGGGAUUUGCAGAUGGGAGACAGAGGGGCAGAGGUGGAGGGCAGCCGCAGCAGGAGGUGGAUAGGACACCCUCCUAAAUAGCCAAAGCCACAGGCAGGCUGGCAGCUGCAGCGUGGAUAAAUUGUGGUGAGGAAUUGGGGGUGCAGCUGUGACGAGGGAGUAGCUAGGGGAGCAGCUGGGUUUGCAGGCAGGUGCGGGCAGGUGCAGGCACAGGCAACUGCUCUGAGGUCUUGGGGGCGCUACGUUGACUGCGAGGGGAGCAGGGGGUUCCAGUGGGGACCCUUGGCGGCUGCUGCCCUGCUCAGCUCCCCAGCUUCUUGCUCCUGGAGCCUUACCAGAGCAGUUGCCAAUGGGGCAAGGCCGGAGGUGGCCAUCCAGUCGCGUGCAGGGGGCUCCCGCCCUGGCCCCUUGAGACGCUGGGCCCUGGUGUCGGUAGCGCUGCUGCACCAGCACCUGGCAAGAGCAUCGAGUCCAGCUGCUCCAGCUGCUCCACACGCACACCUCUGGGGACGGGAGGGAUGUGUCAGCUCACCUUUCCCCUGCCUGCCUCCGUCUCACCCCAGGCCUGCCGAGACCCUGCACAGGACACAGGCGAAAGGGGCCUGGAAGGCCUGGCCACUGGACACCCUCUCACUGCACAAGGAGGGCUCCAAGGGAAGAGAUGGUGGGAAGAGGAACUGAGCAAACCAUGGGGGCAGGACAGGCGCAGGCUUAUUUGGAGGGAUCAUCUGGGAACCGGGAGCUAUUUAUUUUCUGAAUCUCCCAAGGUAGGAAAAGCGGCGAGGUGACGUCACUCCCCCACACACUCACCCGGGCAGGGCCCUGGGUAGCAGCCCCGCGUGUCCAGGUGGAGGAAGGUGCCAUUGCAGGUGGGGUCAGCCUCGGCCAGCAGGCAGGGGCAGGAACCAGAGCGAGAGGCCAAGCCCAGGCCACAGCUGCGGGAACAGGGCCCCCAUGGGCCCCAGGUACAGGCCCCCAGCAAUUCCGGGCAAGGCUGCUGCCCGCAGGGCUGGGUCUGGGUAUCGGGGCCCGGGCAGGGUGAGCUCCCAUGGGGAGGAGCUGCAGCCCUGCAAGCCCGGAUUCGGACCUGGUUUCCACCUCCACAGGAGACAGGGCAGCUGGACCAGGGAGACCACAGCGUCCAGGCCUCGGGCACUGUGGGAAGGCACAGAAGAGAAAAUGUGGGAAGAUGACGUGAAGAGACAGGGAGAAGGCCACCUAUGAGCCAAGAAGCACUAAGGAUUUCUGGCAAGAAAAAGAAGAGGAGAGAGGCCUGAACAGUCUCCGGCGCAGCCCUCAGAAGGAGCCCACCCCCAACACCUGGAGCCUAGGCUUCCAAGAUUGCUGCUCAAGCCCCCCAGCGUGUGGCACUCAGUGGCAGCAGCCCCAGGAGGCUAAUACAGGAGGGGAGAGGGAAGACAGGUGGGGGACGGGGGGAGGGAUACAGGCAGGUGCAGGCUCAGAGGGGCUGGAGGUGGGGGGCCAUGUGUCUCUGUCCACAACUGGAGCCAAGGUCCCUGCCACUGAGGAGGGACAGUGGGUCCUUGGAGGUCACAGGGCCAUAAUGGGGUGGGAGCAGUGUCUCACCAGUUUU